GAUCAUACCAUUGCACACCAGCCUGGGCAACAAGAACGAAACUCUGUGUCAAAAAUAAUUAAUAGUCGUUUCUGUCCGUGGAUGCCACUGAAGAAGCAUCAUUAAAGUCUCUCUGCUCCCUGUGAUCAUGUCUAAGUCAGAGUCUCCUAAAGAGCCGAACAGCUGAGGAAGUUCUUCAUUGGAGUGUUGAGCUUUGAAACAACCAAUGACAGGCUGAGGAGCCAUUCUGAGCCAUGGGGAACGCUCACGGACUGUGUGGUAAUGAGGGAUCCAAACACCAAGCUCUCCAGGGGCUUUGGGUUCUUCACAUAUGCCACUGUGGAGGAGGCAGACGCAGCCAAGGGUGCAAGGCCACACAAAGUGGAUGAAAGAGUUGUGGAACCAAAGAGAGCUGUCUCAAGAGAAGAUUCUCAAAGACCAGGACCAAGUCUCACUCUGUCACCUAGGCUG